ACCUUGAAAUACCACCCUUUAAUGUUUGAUGUUCUAACGUUGGCCCCUUACCGGGGUUGCGGACAGUGUCUGGUGGGUAGUUUGACUGGGGCGGUCUCCUCCUAAAGAGUAACGGAGGAGCACGAAGGUUGGCUAAUCCUGGUCGGACAUCAGGAGGUUAGUGCAAUGGCAUAAGCCAGCUUGACUGCGAGCGUGACGGCGCGAGCAGGUGCGAAAGCAGGUCAUAGUGAUCCGGUGGUUCUGAAUGGAAGGGCCAUCGCUCAACGGAUAAAAGGUACUCCGGGGAUAACAGGCUGAUACCGCCCAAGAGUUCAUAUCGACGGCGGUGUUUGGCACCUCGAUGUCGGCUCAUCACAUCCUGGGGCUGAAGUAGGUCCCAAGGGUAUGGCUGUUCGCCAUUUAAAGUGGUACGCGAGCUGGGUUUAGAACGUCGUGAGACAGUUCGGUCCCUAUCUGCCGUGGGCGCUGGAGAACUGAGGGGGGCUGCUCCUAGUACGAGAGGACCGGAGUGGACGCAUCACUGGUGUUCGGGUUGUCAUGCCAAUGGCACUGCCCGGUAGCUAAAUGCGGAAGAGAUAAGUGCUGAAAGCAUCUAAGCACGAAACUUGCC
rnacentral:rRNA from 1 species